rnacentral:rRNA from 1 species
GAGUUUGAUCAUGGCUCAGGAUGAACGCUGGCGGUGUGGAUAAGGCAUGCAAGUCAAACGGUCCGACUUCGGUCGGAUAGUGGCGAACGGGUUAGUAACACGUGGGUAUCUACCUCUAAAUCUCGCAUAGCUCCACGAAAGCGGAGGUAAUUCGAGAUAGUCCCUACUGAAGUUUCUUUGAAAUCAAGCGGGGUAAAGGUUUUGAGCAAUCAAUGCCGUUUAGAGAUGAGCCCGCGGCCUAUCAGCUAGUUGGUAAGGUAAUGGCUUACCAAGGCUAUGACGGGUAGGGGGCGUGAGAGCGUGUUCCCCAACAAUGGCACUGAGACACGGGCCAUACUCCUACGGGAGGCAGCAGUCGAUAAUAUUGGUCAAUGGGGGAAACCCUGAACCAGCGACACCGCGUGCAGGAAGACGGCCUACGGGUUGUAAACUGCUUUUCUAGAGGGAGAAUCCUGCUUUUUGGCAGGAUGACAGUACUCUAGGAAUAAGGGGCUGCUAAUCACGUGCCAGCAGCAGCGGUAAUACGUGAGCCCCGAGCGUUAUCCGGAUUUACUGGGCGUAAAGGGUCCUAAGGCGGUUUAGAGAGUCCUUAGUUAAAGCCUUGAGGCUUAACCUUGAGGAUACUAAGGAUACUUCUAGACUUGAGGACGUCAGAGGCUAGUGGAACGUACGGUGUAGGGGUGGAAUCCGUUGAUAUCGUAUGGAACACCAAAAGCGAAGGCAGCUAGCUAGGGCGAAUCCUGACGCUAAUGGACGAAAGCGUGGGUAGCAAAAAGGAUUAGAUACCCUUGUAGUCCACGCCCUAAACGAUGGAUGCUAGCUGGUGGAAGUGUCGACCCUUUCACUGGCGAAGCUAACGCGUUAAGCAUCCCUCCUGGGGAGUACGGCGGCAACGCUAAAACUCAAAGGAAUAGACGGGGAGCUACACAAGCGGUGGACCACGUGGCUUAAUUCGACGACAAGCGAAGAACCUUACCAGGGCUUGACACGCUAAGUGAAAUACUGCCGAAAGGUGGUACUCCGCAAGGCACUUAGCACAGGUGCUGCAUGGUUGUCGUCAGCAGGUGCCGUGAGGUGCUCCCUUAAAUGGGGAAACCUGCGAAACCCUCGUCCUAUGUUUUAUCUGUCAUGGGAGACUGCCGUGGUUAACACGGAGGAAGGUGAGGAUGACGCCAAAUCAGCAUGGUCCUUAUGUCCUGGGCGGCACACGUGGUACAAUGGCCGGUACAAUGGGUUGCGAGACGGUAACGUGGAGCUAAUCCCAUCAAAGCCGGUCUCAGUUCGGAUCGAGGUCUGCAACUCGACCUCGUGAAGCUGGAAUCGCUAGUAAUCGCGGAUCAGCCAUGCCGCGAUGAAUAUGUCCCUGGCUCUUGCACACAC